AACCUGAGGAUUGUGCGGUUUAAUUGGAUUCAACGCCGGAAAACUCACCAUGACCGACGGACAUAUGAAAGCCAGUGUAACGAGCUUGCUGGAUUGUUCGAGAGGUAUUGCAUGGCCGCCGUCAGUUCGUACCGCAAGGCGUUCUGUUAAGUCAGAUAACGAACGAGACCCUCAUCCCUAUUUGCCAAGGUCUGUCCGCAGAUCACGGGACUAUAGGGAGACCGCUGGCGCGAAGUCAGAGGAAGGCGAGGGCAACGGUAGGUCAGUAUGAUCCGAAUGUCAUGGGCUACACGCGCAAUACAAAGGACGGGACAAUGGGCUGCUACUCCGAGAGGAAGAAGCUAUCCCGAAACCCGUUCGUAGUUCGGAUUGGGGGCUGUAACCCGCCCCCAUGAAGCUGGAUUAGGUAGUAAUCGCGUCUCAAAAAGGCGCGGUGAAUAUGCCCCUGCUCCUUGCACACACCGCCCGUCAAACCAUCUUAGUUGUGGGUGGGUGAGGCUACCUUGAUAAUGGGGUAUUCGAGCCUGCCUUCGACAAGGAGGGUUAAGUCGUAACAAGGUAUCUGUA
rnacentral:rRNA from 1 species